GCCGGGCGUGGUGGCUCAUGCCUGUAAUCCCCAGCACUUUGGGAGGCUGAGGUGGGCGGAUCACCUGAGGUCAGGAGUUCGAGACCAGCCUGGCCAACAUGGUGAAACCCCAUCUCUA
rnacentral:SRP_RNA from 2 species